AUUGAACGCUGGCGGCAGGCUUAACACAUGCAAGUCGAGCGGGGUGAUGGUGCUUGCACUAUCACUUAGCGGCGGACGGGUGAGUAAUGCUUAGGAAUCUGCCUAUUAGUGGGGGACAACAUCUCGAAAGGGAUGCUAAUACCGCAUACGUCCUACGGGAGAAAGCAGGGGAUCACUUUUGACCUUGCGCUAAUAGAUGAGCCUAAGUCGGAUUAGCUAGUUGGUGGGGUAAAGGCCUACCAAGGCGACGAUCUGUAGCGGGGCUGAGAGGAUGAUCCUCAACACUGGGACUGAGACACGGCCCAGACUCCUACGGGAGGUAGCAGUGGGGAAUAUUGGACAAGGGGGGGAACCCUGAUCCAGCCAUGCCGCGUGGGCGAAGAAGGCCUUAUGGUUGUAAAGCACUUUAAGCGAGGAGGAGGCUCUUUUGGUUAAUACCCAAGAUGAGUGGACGUUACUCGCAGAAUAAGCACCGGCUAACUCUGUGCCAGCCGCCGCAGUAA
rnacentral:rRNA from 1 species